AUGCAUGAUCUCCUUCCUAAAGAGGACAAGAAUGACAGCCACAUCAUCUGGAGAAGGCAGCCAGGGAAGUACUCAAGAGAAAACACUUCUGUGGGUGACUUGAAGAAGCUGGUCACCAUAUGGUUGUGGACCAAGCUUCACUUUUUUGCAGCUUUCUGUUCCAACAAGUUACUCCCCCCAGAUCCCACCUAUUUUAAAAGCAACUCCCAGAGAAAGAAAGGCUUGACAGCCAACAGAUGACCACCACAUUCUCUCCCACAAGUCAUCUGAUUUCAAAAGGCAAGUUCUGUUCACAGGAAGGAGAGUAUCCAUACAAGUCCAAGUUCAGUGAGAGGGACUGUCCUGUAACCUGGAAGCCAAGGACUGGAAUGCCCUCAUUCACUUAUUCUGAUUCAUAAAGUUUAAAUUACUAAAAGAGGUUAACAACUUCAACAUGUGGCAUAAUCCAGCGAUUCAUUUGUUCAAAUAAGAGAAAAAAGUUUAACUUUGUAACAAUAAUAUGAACACAAAAACAUUUCCUGGGACCAAAAAAAAAAAUGUGGCUUUGAAAUUCUGCCUUUUAUCUUCCUGGGAAAAGCAAGAGCUUACAAACUGGGGUUGGGGGGAAGGUUUCUUUUUGGUAAACUCAUAGGCCUUUGGCCACUGCUUCCCUUCCACCUCAAUUGUUUUCUUCUGAUCUAUGCAUUGACCACGUAGAAAUGUUCAAAUGAAAGCACCCGGUCAUUUUUACUUAUCUUUCUUAUUUUUCUAGAAAGAGGCCUUGAUAUAUUCUAGUUUCACAAGUGAUUUUGCUAGAUUUUUGCCGUUACGAAUCUGUUUCGCUUUAACUGCAAACCACCUGAUUCUGAUUUUCCCUAGCCAUAAAUCUGAAUUUUUACUACAUUUUAUCUGAGAUUCACAACAGAUGGGCUAUGAACCAAGAAAAAUACAAUGGGAGGAAAGAAAAGAUAAAAUUAUUGGGCAACGACUACACAGAAGAUGGACCAACCCUGAGACAGGAUAUAAAGGAGGGUGAAGGGGGUAGUCCCAGUGAAGUAGAAUGAGGAAAACCAUUUUCUUCAUAAAACUAUAGAAACAGCAGUGUUUACCUUUAGUGUUGUUGCUACCCAGAAGAAGAGAAGGUAUCUUGGCAUUUUAUCAACCAUAUUUUUAUGUACUGCCAUCAAGAAUUUAUUUUCACUGCCUCCAUAUAUUUCUUAGUCAGGCAACCAUUUUCAAUGAUACUAAAUCCAUCUACUCCCAUAUAUGUGGCCCAACACAACUCAAUCAGACAUUUUUUUAAACCAGCCCUAUGAAAAGAUGUUUUGAAAAGCUAAUGACCAACCAAACCUGAGUAUAGCCAUCCAAACAUUUUAGUCAAAGGACAGGUUAGAGAAGAAUCACUUGACUAAAGAAAUGCUUACAAUGGGCUGGGCCAGUGGCUCAUGCCUGUAAUCCUAGCACUUUGGGAGGACGAGGCAGGUGGAUCACCUGAGGUCAGGAAUUCAACACCAGCCUGGCCAACAUGGCAAAACCCUGUCUCUACUAAAAAUGCAAAAAUUAGCCAGGCAUAAUGUUACACACCUGUAAUCCCAGCUACGUGGGAGGCUGAGGCAGGAGAAUCACUUGAACCCAGGAGGCGGAGGUUGCAGUGAGCCGAGAUUGUACCACUGCACUCCAGCCUGUGUGACAGGAGUGAGACUUCAUCUCAAAAAAAAAAGAGAAAGAAAAGCCUACAAUGUUAAAGGUUAUGCUAACAUUUACAGCCAAAGGCAGAAGGGCAAUGUAUAUACUAUGAUACAAAAGAUUUAAAUAGGAAAAGUUCAGUUCACCAGAUAUGCACUCUGUACAUGAUGCCAACCAGGUUACUUGAAAGUCACACAUUAAAACAGCUGUCUUCACAUUUGCUAGUUGCUGUCUAAUUUCUAUAGGGUCUUGGUCCUAUAAAAUUUUUCUAAUAUACAUUAUUGGUUUUUUUAUUUUAAUCUUUUAAUAGAAAUUCAAUAAUGAGUAUUUACUGCCUAUAUCUGAUAGAAGAAUCCCAUUUCUCAUGAGAAAAUCAAUGGAAAACUCAGCAUUUCUUCAAAACCAAAAUUUCCUUUGUCAAAACCUGUAGAACACAGGUUUCAGCAAAAUUCGUAAAAUAUUCAGAUCAAAUUUGGGUUUCUUAUUGAUUUUCAGGAGGAUUAAUCCCUUUUAUAUUAAAAGCUCAUUUGGUCACAAGUAAUGGAAAU
ensembl:lncRNA